rnacentral:rRNA from 1 species
CCUACGGGGGGCAGCAGUGGGGAAUAUUGCACAAUGGGGGAAACCCUGAUGCAGCGACGCCGCGUGAGUGAAGAAGUAAUUCGUUAUGUAAAGCUCUAUCAGCAGGGAAGAAAAUGACGGUACCGGAGUAAGAAGCCCCGGCGAACUACGUGCCAGCAGCCGCGGUAAUACGUAGGGGGCAAGCGUUAUCGGGAUUUACUGGGUGGAAAGGGAGCGUAGACGGGUGGGCAAGUCUGGAGUGAAAGGCGGGGGCUCAACCCCCGUACUGCUCUGGAAACUGUACGGCUGGAGUGCAGGAGAGGUAAGUGGAAUUCCUAGUGUAGCGGUGAAAUGCGUAGAUAUUAGGAGGAACACCAGUGGCGAAGGCGGCUUACUGGACUGUAACUGACGUUGAGGCUCGAAAGCGUGGGGAGCAAACAGGAUUAGAUACCCUAGUAGUC